GUUUCUUCCACUGAAGGUGAGCAGGGAUCAGAGAAAGACGGGAGGCAGACACACUUAAAAGAAGAAACACAGAAAUGGACUUCAUAUGAUUUUUUUUUUCUUUCUAAAUUUCAACAGUCCUCUGAGGGGACACGUCACGCAGGUUAUGUGCCUGCCAUUGUAUCAUUUUUCACCUCGAUUUCAACUUUGGUAACUGAAGACAGUUUAAUAUCACAAAGUCAUUAAUAAUAUUCUGAGACCAUCUGCAAGCCAUUUCCACCUAAAGUCAUUCAAAUCUGCAUUUCAGGGGGCCUAAAAACUGACUAUCAUGGCUGUGCUGACUUGCCCCUGGGCUGAUCUGGCUCUGUUUCUGCAGGGGAGCAUCAUAAUGUCAAACAGUGAUGCAGACAGCUUUCUUCCGGUGUUUGGACUGACGCUCUUCUCGUCUGUCUCUCUUCUGCUGUUAGCACUCAUCUUGUUCCUCAGUUGGAAACUCAAAGAAGCUGACGCUGAUCUGUUCAGGUUGGCACAGGACAGAAGCUCCAUCAGCGCCCCCCACAGGCGUGUGUACAGAGGACAGCACAAAAGAAAUGCUGGAUCUCAUUCCUGCACCUGACAGUCAUGAACGGACACAUUUUAACAUAAAUGUG